CGGACCGGCGCACGGGUGCGUAACGCGUAUGCAACCUACCAUCAACAGGGGGAUAACACUGAGAAAUUGGUACUAAUACCCCAUAAUAUCUCAUGCGGCAUCGCAUGGGGUUGAAAACUCCGGUGGUCGAUGAUGGGCAUGCGUUGUAUUAGCUGGUUGGUGAGGUAACGGCUCACCAAGGCGACGAUACAUAGGGGGACUGAGAGGUUAACCCCCCACAUUGGUACUGAGACACGGACCAAACUCCUACGGGAGGCAGCAG
rnacentral:rRNA from 1 species